UCAGAGUACACAAGACAACUGUCAUUAUCUGCACGCACAUCUCUACAUCCUGCAAAGGAAUGGCAGCCGUUUUGACAGUGAAUGGAACAAAGACGGGUGGUGAGAGAAGCGAACCGAUGAUUUGCUUGGCGAUAACGGAUGAUCAGGCUCUGACGAGGUACAAACAGCACAUUCCUGCGGGGGGAGAGGGGCGUGCGCUGUUGGAUCAGAACACAGCCCUCAAGUUGGAAGGUCAGACAGCGAUGGAAAGGGAGGAUUGAAGCAAAGCUCGGCAUCAGUCAGAGGGAGGAGGUUCUGGGAGCAAUUACAGAGUGAAGACGCGGGUUGCGAUGGGAGAGAGGAGACGCGGUGGCCUUAAUGUCUGCAUGGAAGAAAGAAGCUGACAGGGUGAAAAAGAAAGUGAUUUAGACAAUUUAUUCACUCUUGUGUAAGCACUAUAAGGAGGGGAAGAAAGAAAAAAAACUUUCCACCCCAUUGCACUGUAAAAUGUGUUACAUUAAGUAAAACACGGUCCUAUUGGUCAGAUCCUGGUCUUUUUAGAAGCUCAGUUCCAAACUUGCCUGAAUGCUCAUCUAAUGUCAACACAACCGCAAGAGGGAAACACGAUGUUCCCAUUCAGAAUUCAUGUCUCCAUUUCACGUGCAGGACUACACGUCUACACUCUUGCAUCCUAUCAAAACAGCUGCCACCUGGAAGCGUAAAUCAUCGCACUCUGCCCAGCCAGCUUCUGCACUGAACGGCUCUAACCGUGUACAGACAGUGUGUACACAUUUCAGGUCCAGGCUGGUUGUGAGCCAGACAGACAGACAGACAGACAGACAGCUAGCU